UCUUAUUGUAUCAAGAGGUUGAUAUUUUAGGAUUUAAAGAAAUAAAAGAGUUUUUGUUUCUUGUGGACGUAGAUCUCAGAGGUGAGAUUGAACCACGUUAUAUCCUGAGUUUGAGUAUUGAUUUAAUAUUGUUUUAGUUUUAAUCUUCGCAAAAACUCAAAUCAGAGAUUUACGAUUAUUUCGCACAGUGGCUGGCACUGUGCAAUAACAAAGGUUUUGCGAAAAUCGAUCAAAUUUCGUCACUCAAUUCAACCCCCCCUUCUUGAGUGUCACCUUGGGUUCCAACAAGCAUCAUUAUGAUCCUUCGUCAGCUGGUUAAUCUGGCCAAUUAACUUAUUUGACUUCUCUUCGAAGUUAGCCUGAUCAUUGUCAAUGGCCCUUAUCGCCCUUGUUAGCUCACACUCGGACUUGUGAAGCCUUGUCUCCAAGUCCUUCACAAUAGCCUCAUGCUGCUGAGCCGCAACCUCCAGAUUAUACCCUGGCGGACAACCUCUGAUUCUGCGCAACUAAAGCUAUAUGGCGGCGCCCGAGCAUAGUCAUUCGAAUGGACAUCUACAAAGAUAGGAAAAGAAGCUAGAGAUACAUUCGAAGUUUUCUUGUGCACUGUCGUCUUGCCGCAUCACCGUCGCUACCGGUCAACUGCACAACCAUCGCAUCGUCGUUUCUAGGUUUGUUGCGCCAAUCCACAACAGGAAAAUGUGAUUUUAUCAUCUUAUGUUCUUCUGUCAUGAACAUGCCGCAUCACCGUCGCCACGAGUUUUGUUGUUCAUCACGACGAGAUGAAUUUGUUUUCAUGUAUUCCUUUUUUUUAUAUAAGUAAUUAUAUAUAACGAGGUAUUCUUAUUGA